rnacentral:lncRNA from 1 species
GCUUUUGGUGGCUGUGGAUUUCUGCACAGAAGCGGUCCUUGAAGCAUCCCUUGGACAGGACUGCAAAAGGUGACUAAACAGUUUAGUGCUGUGCUGGCUAUGCUGCUUCUGCAGAUGUUGGAGAGAAAUCCUUGGCUACGGAGAAGUGGCGGGAAGUAGGAUGAGCUUUUGUUCAUCUUGCUGCCAGGUGAUGAGCUUUGCACACCAGACAGACUUGGUGCCAUCACUCCUACAGCUUCCAGUUAUGAGUGCUUUCUGAGCCCUGUGUGAAUUCCAGCAGGAUGCAGGCUCAAAUUUUGCAUCUCAGCAACCAAGAUGUAUGGCUAAUAAAUCCUGAUUGCAGACGAAGAGUGCUUAAGAUCAGGAAUCUCAGCCCACAGGAUGAACUGAGAAGUGGAAGACAGAGAUGGUGGCUGAAGUCUGCCAAGAUUCAGAGGAGUGCAGCAGCGUGCCAGAUCCUCGCUGGAUUUGAGCAUAUCAGCCUGCUCUGGUGGCUAGCUUAUUUGGAUGGCACAGUGAACUGCCUGGAUCUCUUACAUUUAUGUGAAGAUCAUUUCCCUGGACUUCAAUGUGAGCCCAAUUCUUUGUCUCUGCUGGAAGCCAUCCUAAGAGAUGAUGGAGGAAUGCUGUGUGAGCCAGCCAGCCUGCAGGAUGAGUCACCCUGGGAAGAUCACUCUUGUACCAAAGGAGAAGUCAAAUGUAGUGGAAUGCUGUGCAAGACAACAGAUAAUGGAUGGACAAUUGGAGGACAACAAUCCCUGGGCUCAUGCCCAGAAAACUGGAUAUUCACACAAAAGAGCACCCUGAAAGAACACCUGCGAUUGAGAGGCUUUGCUCAUCACUAG